rnacentral:tRNA from 1 species
AGCAGAGUGGCCUAAUAGGUAGAGCAUGCGUCUGGGAGUCAGAGGACCUGGGUUCUAAUCUCGGCUCUGCCA